AAUGUAGCCUCCAUAAGCCCAGCACAUCAUGUAGCUAUGUUUCUAUGGCCUGCAUUCUCUUCUUUGCUCUCUCUCUCUCUCUCUCACUUUCCAUUUCUCUCUGUCCUCUCACUCAUUCUGUUUUUGAAGGAUAGUGUUAAUGAUGUCUGGCAUGUGUGAGGCAGUGUGCAGAGUGAGCAAGAGAGAGAUAGAGAACGGAAGAGAAAGAGAGAGAGAAAGAACGGGGAGAGAGAGGCAGAGGGGGAAAGUGAGAGAGACCGUAUGAGACUCAGAGUGGAAUACAUGCAAGAGGAAAAUCUGGAAGAAACUGAGGAUUUGUUGACAGGAAUUGGACUGAAAUGAAACACUGAAAAGGCAGCAAAAUGGAAAUAUGGGACAAGAGCAGCUGCAUUCUCAUUUCCAACCAAACCUGGAACCAUUGCUGUAAUGAAAUUGUAACGAUGCCAUUGAGUUGGAGGAGCCUGCCAGAGUAAACCCAUUGACCUUGAGGAAGCAGCAUGGCUAUGUUCCUAACAGGCCUCUUGAGCGGGUGCUUAGAGCGCCGGCCUCUUCGUCUCUCCUCACAGAUCCACUGCCUUCUUGGGGAGAGGAGAAUGUUUCCAGCUGCUUCUCCCCAACACACCACCACCCCAGCCCCCUCCUUCACCCCCCUCGCCCCAAGCCAAGAUGUUACUGCAGGCAUCUAUAUGCUGUGGAAUUCCACUCUGAACAUAAUGGAUCAUCAAAGCUGGGAUUAAAAUUUUUGUGGAGGAACAGCUCUGACUGCUGGAAGAUUUAAGCUUAUUAGCUUUAAAACCAGGUUAGGAGUUUUCAACUGAUGUAUAGGAGACUUCAAAGAUGUUUUAAUCUGUCAGUAUACAGUACAUGCUCUGCAUAGGCUAUUUAUAUUGAGAAGCAGUAUUUAUUUUUGUCUUGGUUCUGCCCAACCCAGGGAUUGUCUGGCUGGAAGUCAGGCUGGGUCGAUACAGCUGGUACUGAUCCGUACCUGGUUUGUCCCAAUAAGGAAAUCGAAACACUACACUUGCAUUUUAGAUCUUAGUAAUUUAACAGAUGGUCAUAUACUGUGUAAUGUGCAAGCAGUCCAUUCAACUGAUGCAGAUAAAAGACCACAUAUUGCACUACUCAAUUGAAUAUAUUGAUAUAAUUUGUUUCACCAUUGCUUGGGGGAAGAUAUAGAAUCACAGAUACAUUUUCAAAGCAGAUUGUUUUGUAAAUGUUAGAUAGGCACUUUUUUAUAGCAAAUGGUUUUGUAAAUGUCAGAAAGGUACAUUUUAAUUUUGUUAGAUUUUGUUAGAUGGAUACAACAUCAUAGCAGGUUAUUAAUUAAAUGUUACUGUAUACAACAGUAAUGUAAUAAAUUAUUUGUUUGAGUGGUGUGGAAGAAAUUUUUCAUGAAAAAUUAAAGGAAGAUAAAUUGUGAUCAGCAUUGUAAGAGAUUAGUGACACAAUAAAAUAAUUUUUCCAUUAGUGAAGAAUAGUGGUUUAUCUCUUCUUACGGGGGAAGCCUAAUGUUUGGAGAAGACGUAUUUAAGUGGUGGUUGUCUUUAAAUGACGUGAUCAAAUCACAAAGCUCCUGUUUAGUAUACCUUAAAAUAUUCUGGUGCUCGAGACCACUAUAAACUGGAUCAUGCUUUAAUUGUUGGCGCAUAGCUUCUCAGUGCACAAGUGAUGAUCAUUGAAUCUUUUGUGAUGUUUUCUGAAAGAAUAUUCAAUCAUCAUGAAAAUGUUGCUUCUAGAAAUAUUUUCCAUGGCUGAAAUAAGAAUCAUGGAUAAUGAAAUAAAUUAAACAUAUAAUAACGUACUGUGCUUCUUUAAGAAUGUUUAAUUGUCUAGUGGUAUUGGUAUGAAUGCCAUGGAUUUAAAUUAGUUUAACACAAUCUGUUGAAUACAAUGAACUUAAUGUUGAACUUGAACUGUUCAGUCACCUCUUGUUGAUGAAGUGCACAUUCUGUCUUUAAACAGUUAUUUAGUAUACUAUGGUUUUAAUAUAAUAUUUUUAAGUUUGUUUUUAUUAGUUUUAAUUUUUCUAUGAAGGUCCAGUGCUAAGUUUUUUAGGUGGAGGAACCUCAACUAGAUCUUUAUGUUCAUACUAUAUGCCCACAGAAACAGCACGUUACUCUUUACUACAGUCUAAAUGCUGUUUAGUAUUAAAUACUAGCUUUAGGUUGCACCAUAAAUGGUGUCCUAACCCCUAUGAAAUGUGCAGAGCACAUACGGCUCUGAGCAAAAGAAUUGCACUGCAUAUAUACAGGUUACUAUUUGGCACAUAUCCUUUUUGGUCAAGUUGGCCAGGUGAUGUUAUUCAUUUGAAGCAAGGUGUGGCUUUGAUUUUAUGUAUCUGUGUCAGUGUUUUUUGUGCCUAGCUAUAAAUAACUGAUAACAGCUCUUUCCCGUUCUAGAAAUAGAGUCUCCUGAAUUAGACACAGCCUCAGUAGCUUUCAUUAAACGGGGAAAACAUGUUAAUGGUGCAUUGCCAUGGUGAUGAUUUACCGUUUUCUGAAAACCAAUAUUUUAUAAUACUGCUAUCUAUGUCAUAGCUGCAGGCAGAAACAGGAAAAUGCUGAGGUAAUAUGUUACACAUCCCCUGCCUAAGAGCUGUUUAAUAUAUUACAUAAGGUUGAAAUAAACACUUUUUAUGCAUAGCAAAUAUGGUCUGUGGAGGUAAUUAAUAUAGAUAGAUAUCCUAAAUUGUAUUUUUAUGGUAAAAUGUUUUAAUUAAUGUACUAGAGACAAGUCUGCCAACAAUGAUGGCUUCCAACAAUAAAGGCCAGCAGAGUCAAUUCCGUCUUGAAGGUGAAUUUACCAUAGCUCAACUAUUUGAUGUACUAAUGUGUAAAUACUUAACACCAAAACAUAUAUUUAUUUGAAACCAAGGUUGAUCAUGUCCAUCUGGUGUACAGUGCCUGGCUGCAAUAAUUACAAGGAAACACAGAAAAGUGCUAUUCUGUGUUUCAUUUACCCAAUGCAUCAACAUGUAACUACAACAGAUAUUGCAUUUGAAAUGUUCUUGUUAUUAUGAAUCCAUUGAUCCCACUUAUCCCAUGCCAACCAAUAAUACCAUUACCACACAUUCACCAGUAGAAUGUUUUUUGUUUUUGAAAAAAGCUAUACGCUAUAUUCACACAUUCACUGCUUGUUUAGCAAUAAGCAAGUCACAAAUCAAUAGAAUUAACUCAAUUACUUCUGUCUUGGAAACUUAUGUAAUCCAAAUAUAAUUGAUAAAUACAUUCUUUAAUCAAUUUUUUAAUGCCAUAACAGCAGAUUAUGUUGUUCCCACUGUCUUGCAAAGCAUCUUCAUCAGCCUAUGUAUCAGCCAAUGUAUGAUGUAUGGUACAACAUCACCAUUUUAGAUCACUUCCAAAAUAAAUAUUUAUCUCAACUAAGUCUUGUUGAAAAGCCAUUGUGUUUCUGUAAAGUUUAGUUAGCUAGCUAGAUAGCUAUGUGCUGUAUAACAACAAAAACUGGAAAAUUUUCCGGAAUCUGUUCUGUGUACAUGUUUCUA
ensembl:lncRNA